rnacentral:piRNA from 1 species
UCCAGGUCAGGGAGCAGUGGUCGGG